ACUCUUUAAGGGUCCUAGACUAGUUUUCGAGGAAUGUUGACGUGAAACAACCCAGUUUCGAGAAGUCUCACUUUUGGCUGGAUCUUUCGAGGUAUUUUCCGGCCACCUCCAUCCAUUUUUUUCGACUCCCAAAAGGUAUAUUCUUGUUCUACUCUUCAAUACCUUCAAAUCCAUAUAAAGUAGGUAAAAAAUGGUUGAGAAAUGAAGAAGUUAUGCAAGUUUUAAAAUUUCCAGAAAUUUGGCGAAAUUCAAGUUGAAGAUGGCGGCGACCGACGAGAUCACCAGAGAAGACAAAGUUGAUGAAAUAUUAUGACGGCGUCAGGUUACGCCGUUAAUUCUAUUAGUUAAAGUUAAAGGAAUAUUCCUGACGAAUGUCAGGGUUAUGGCAGCGAGUGGUGGUGUGUUUGGCUGUGCCUUGGCCGGUGCAUGAGGACGUGUGUGGUGUCCGAAAUUCAUUCUAAAUAUUUGUGUUGGUCCGUGACGUCGAGUAUAUCGAUUUCGUAUAUUCAAACCCUAUGUUUGAGGAAUAUGAGAGAGAGAGAGAGAGAGAGAGAGAGAGAGAGAGAGAGAGAGAGAGAGAGAGAGAGAGAGAGAGAGAGAGAGAGUAAAAGAAAUAUCUUAGGGACCCAAAUUUUACAGUCUGCCUAUCAGCCAAAACAUCGACAUUGAAGUUGUCAAAAACAGGUGGAACAUAAUCUUGUCAAUAAAAAGGAAAACGAAAAUGAACCCAGAGAAAGAUUAUUUAUAACUGUUCAUAAAAUAGGAAAAUAAUGGCAUAAAUAGAAGGAAAAAAAAAACAAAAAUGUAACAGUGUUGAAGGUAAGAAAAUAUAUACAGUGGGAUUUCAAAGAACCCUAAAAUCCGAGCUAAACCCCAGAUCUGCUAUCUUAGCCUAUGAAUUUCAAACAAAGUAAAAUCAAAAUAAAGGGGGUAAAUUCAAUUAGGUCAAUCUUCCAAUUAUCCAAUUCAAUCUUUCAAUCUCCAAACAAAAAACGUGGAAAUAAACAAAAAUAGAUGUUGAGAGAAGGACAUUUACCCUUUUGUUUGUGAAGAAGAGUGUUCAAAUAAGAUGAGAGGGAGAAAUCAACCCUUUUGGCGGUGAAGAAGAGUGUUCGAAUGAGAUGAGAGGAAAUAUCAAGAAGUUGAGAAAGUUCGAGAGAAGAAAGUGAGAUUCAAGAGAGAUUGCUCACAGAU
rnacentral:lncRNA from 1 species